rnacentral:lncRNA from 1 species
UGCAUAUUUUCCGCAAAAGGCCGCGGCCGAUUUGCCACCCAUUCGAAGCAAUUGAGGCGUAUACUUAUUGUGUGAGGCACGGGUAUUCGUAUUUGCCUUUCGAGCUUGUGUUCAACGCCGUGUUAUAGCUGACGAAGGGCGCGUUGCAGCACGGGAACACAUUAAAGGGGAGCCCCCGAGCACGGCGUUUUCAUUCAGGUAUUCAACUUCAAGUUAUAAAUGUAGACGCUGCUCCGCAAUUCUGCGGUUCUUUCCAUGGUUCACGUGUGUGGAGGCACUCAACAUUGUACCCCAGCUUCUCUGGUUGUUCGCGGCAUGGAUACCUUGCUCUUGGACGCAAGACGAAGCUCUUUUCAGCGAGUUGAUUCAGGCAAGUUCUGGAAGUUACCGCACAGCGCACUCGGAGAGUCAAAAUGCGUUUCUUGUGUCUUUGCAGAUUCAAGAUUGCUACAGCACCUGUGCACCAGGUACACCCCAAGGUAGACGACGAUGAAGGCGAGACAACCUAAAGGGCAGACUCGGUAGGAGCAAUUGACGAAGGUGCAGCGACUAUGAAGCCACAAUAAAGUAUCGAAUGUGCA